rnacentral:rRNA from 1 species
GAUCAUGGCUCAGGAUGAACGCUGGCGGCGUGCUUAACACAUGCAAGUCGAACGAAGCUCUUGAUCGGAGGAUUCGUCCAAAGUGAUGAGAAGACUUAGUGGCGGACGGGUGAGUAACGCGUGGGUAACCUGCCGUAUUCUGGGGGACAACAGUUGGAAACGACUGCUAAUACCGCAUAAGCGCACAGCACCGCAUGGUGCAGUGUGAAAAACUCCGGUGGAAUACGAUGGACCCGCGUCUGAUUAGCUAGUUGGUGAGGUAACGGCCCACCAAGGCGACGAUCAGUAGCCGGCCUGAGAGGGUGAACGGCCACAUUGGGACUGAGACACGGCCCAAACUCCUACGGGAGGCAGCAGUGGGGAAUAUUGCACAAUGGGGGAAACCCUGAUGCAGCGACGCCGCGUGAGUGAAGAAGUAUUUCGGUAUGUAAAGCUCUAUCAGCAGGGAAGAAAAUGACGGUACCUGACUAAGAAGCCCCGGCUAACUACGUGCCAGCCGCGGC